GUUCUGUGAGAGGAGCGGGAGGAGGAUGGGCCCAUGGAGUGCCUACUCCAAACCAGUCUCUCCACCAACAACCAGUGUUGCUGGUUUCAUCUGAUAUUUACCUCAUUACCAUAAGUACUGCCUUCUGAAAGCCUCAUUGUGUAGUCUCACAUGAGGAAUGUACCCUCCUCUAAUUAAUGGGAAUUGUACCUACUGUGCCCAUUUAAUUUCAAAAUACCACUCCUCUCCUUCCAAUUAUUGGAGAGAUCCUCUGGCUGAGCCAUCUGGACGGAUGGCUCCCACCCCAAAUCAUUUGUGCCCUGGUAAUGAGGUUCACAGGGUACCCCAAAACUACAGACGGGAGAAAAUCUCCCAACUGGUGCUCUGGAAGGAGAUGGAGUCCGAGAGAGGUGAGGCAGGGUUUCUUCUCUCCAAGUAGCAACCAGAGAAGAGCUUUUCUCCUAGAAUCGUCAUCUCUGAGCCCGUCCACAGCUCCUGCAGCGCCUCACACCUACUGGCCCAACCUGCAGGCCUGGGAGCCUCUCCCAGGUAUUGGCUGCUGUCCCAGCAGAAGGUAAGCUGGGUGAGAAGACUACUUCAGUAUUAAGGACUCUUUCUUAGUGAUAUCUCAUGCCUGUUUCCUGGAGAAUGACCUGCAUGCCCUUGGGUUUCUACAGAUUUUUUAGUUCCUAUUCCUUGUCUGACAUGUGACUUAUGACCUUUCAUUAACCUGGCUAUGUGUCUCCUGGACCCCUGAUGGCCCAGCCGACAGCACCUUUGAUCCACUGACCCCUCUGAUCUUCUGUAUGUCUCUGGCCUCGCUCUGGAUACUCAUGCUGUGACUACUAGCUUCUGGGUCCUUCUCCAGGCCCGCUCCUCCCCUGUGCCUCCAUCUAUCACAGCUCUCCCUGCCCUGCCAAGUUCCUGAGACCUAGUUGAUCUUGAUACAGAUUUAAACCAGCCUGACCUCAAACACAUCGGCCUGAGAAACUUGUUGUUAUGUUGGCUAGGGUUACACCACUUCACGUGCCACGGAGCCAGUUUGCAUAAAACUGGACUUGGGAAAU
rnacentral:lncRNA from 1 species